rnacentral:rRNA from 1 species
UACAGAGGGGGCAAGCGUUGUUCGGAAUUACUGGGCGUAAAGGGCGCGUAGGCGGCCCUGUAAGUCAGUGCUGAAAUAUCCCGGCUUAACCGGGAGGGUGGCAUUGAUACUGCGGGGCUAGAGUACAGAUGAGGUAGGCGGAAUUGACGGUGUAGCGGUGAAAUGCUUAGAUAUCGUCAAGAACACCUAUAGCGAAGGCAGCUUACUAGGCUGUAACUGACGCUGAGGCACGAAAGUGUGGGGAUCAAACAGG